AGUUCUUCGGAGCUUGAGACCGGCGCACGGGUGCGUAACGCGUAUGCAAUCUACCUUUUACAGAGGGAUAGCCCAGAGAAAUUUGGAUUAAUACCUCAUAGUAUAAUUGAAUGGCAUCAUUUAAUUAUUAAAGUCACAACGGUAAAAGAUGAGCAUGCGUCCCAUUAGCUAGUUGGUAAGGUAACGGCUUACCAAGGCUACGAUGGGUAGGGGUCCUGAGAGGGAGAUCCCCCACACUGGUACUGAGACACGGACCAGACUCCUACGGGAGGCAGCAGUGAGGAAUAUUGGACAAUGGGCGCAAGCCUGAUCCAGCCAUGCCGCGUGCAGGAUGACGGUCCUAUGGAUUGUAAACUGCUUUUGUACAGGAAGAAACACUGGUUCGUGAACCAGCUUGACGGUACUGUAAGAAUAAGGAUCGGCUAACUCCGUGCCAGCAGCCGCGGUAAUACGGAGGAUCCAAGCGUUAUCCGGAAUCAUUGGGUUUAAAGGGUCCGUAGGCGGUUUGGUAAGUCAGUGGUGAAAGCCCAUCGCUCAACGGUGGAACGGCCAUUGAUACUGCUAGACUUGAAUUAUUAGGAAGUAACUAGAAUAUGUAGUGUAGCGGUGAAAUGCUUAGAGAUUACAUGGAAUACCAAUUGCGAAGGCAGGUUACUACUAAUAUAUUGACGCUGAUGGACGAAAGCGUGGGUAGCGAACAGGAUUAGAUACCCUGGUAGUCCACGCCGUAAACGAUGGAUACUAGCUGUUGGGCGCAAGUUCAGUGGCUAAGCGAAAGUGAUAAGUAUCCCACCUGGGGAGUACGUUCGCAAAAUG
rnacentral:rRNA from 1 species